AACGAACGCUGGCGGCAUGCCUAACACAUGCAAGUCGAACGAGACCUUCGGGUCUAGUGGCGCACGGGUGCGUAACGCGUGGGAACCUGCCCUUAGGUUCGGAAUAACUCCCCGAAAGGGGUGCUAAUACCGGAUAAUGUCUUCGGACCAAAGAUUUAUCGCCUUUGGAUGGGCCCGCGUUGGAUUAGCUAGUUUGUAGGGUAAAAGCCUACCAAGGCGACGAUCCAUAGCUGGUCUGAGAGGAUGAUCAGCCACACUGGGACUGAGACACGGCCCAGACUACUACGGGAGGCAGCAGUGGGGAAUAUUGGACAAUGGGCGAAAGCCUGAUCCAGCAAUGCCGCGUGAGUGAUGAAGGCCUUAGGGUUGUAAAGCUCUUUUACCCGGGAUGAUAAUGACAGUACCGGGAGAAUAAGCUCCGGCUAACUCCGUG
rnacentral:rRNA from 1 species